AGGAGCUCGCCCCUCUGGCCUGGACCAUGUACUAAGGCUCCCGCUUCUCGGGCUCUUCCUCCCCUGAGCCCCCCACCGGCCGCCAGGGCAUCUCCGACUGGCCUCCUCCCCUCGCCGCGGUCUGGCUCCUCUCCCCCGUCUCUAGUGCCCUCAUAUUCCAUCCUCUCACUCCGCGCAGAAAGGGACCGGAGAGGCAGUUGCUCCCCACUUCCCGAGAAGACCCCCUGGCCAGCCAGUGUUUCGGGGCGGGGGGCGCAGCGAGGAGGCCUGGCGCCCUUUUGCUGCACGUUCUGUGCCCAGCAGUGUCUCCCAGACCAGCAACCCCCGACCCUCCAGGCUCCAUGUCUUAGAGGAGCCAAAUUCGAGAGUUAUAUAAUUUCUAGUGCUGCUGUUCCUCCUGCCUGAGGAAACCCUUCAUCGCGCGGAGGGUGCAGGACACCUUUGAGCUCUUCUUCUCUAUCAGGACGGGGUGUGGGCAGGGGUGGCCCGCGGUGGCAGAGAUUGCCUGUCUUUUCUGCAAAAGGAAGGUGGGUCGUUUGGAGAGAGAGAUUGAGAGGCAGGGUGGAGGUGGAAGCCAAGCGGCCGAACUCUCUCUCCUUUAGGAAAUCGCCAGCCCUGUGCACAGCUGGUGCUCACAUGCCUAAUACUACAGCGUCUCCGAAAACACCUUCGCGGGAAGGGUUGGCGGCUCCGGACCGGUCCCGGCGCUUUUCCUCGCUGGGCAGGCAGCUGCCUGGACGCGAAGAGAUGGCACGAUGUGAAUGAAUGACUCCAGGGUGAAGAGACCUGCUUCGCCAACUCAUCCUGCAUCAAGUGCCCCCCAAGUAGCACUGUCACUGUAACGCCUCCGUGCCAGGGGAUUGCUUUCCUGCUUUUCAAUCCUCUCGGUUAAUACAUGGGAGGAUCAGAAUCAGAGGGGGCAUUAAGGAUCAAGCCCGAGGGGCUCGGAGAGAACGGAAGGGAAAAAAUGAAAGUGACAGCAAGCUGGAUCCUGCCUUACUGAGGGAGAAGACAGCCUGGACUUCAAAACCAAGUAGGUGAAGUGGUUUGCAACAGUUACCUGACUCUUGGCCUCAAUCCAGUUGGAUAAAGUUGAGACCUGAAAAGAGAGCUUGAAUCCUGUGGCAGUGGAAAGACCAAGAAUGCCAGUCAAGAAGAAAGAUACUGACCGAGCUUUAUCAUUGCUGGAGGAAUACUGCAACAAAUUAAGGAAACCAGAGGAGCAGCAGCUGAAAAACGCUGUUAAAAAGGUGAUGGGCAUCUUUAGGAGCAGC